rnacentral:rRNA from 1 species
GCCUACGGGAGGCAGCAGUGAGGAAUAUUGGUCAAUGGCCGAGAGGCUGAACCAGCCAAGUCGCGUGAGGGAAGACGGCCCUACGGGUUGUAAACCUCUUUUGUCGGGGAGCAAAGCGAGUCACGUGUGACUCAUUGAGAGUACCCGAAGAAAAAGCAUCGGCUAACUACGUGCCAGCAGCCGCGGUAAUACGUAGGGAGCAAGCGUUAUCCGGAUUUAUUGGGUGUAAAGGGUGCGUAGACGGGAAGGCAAGUUAGUUGUGAAAUCCCUCGGCUUAACUGAGGAACUGCAACUAAAACUAUCUU